CGUGACAUUGCUGCAGGUCCUGACCCUGAACCUCAGCCCUGGCUCCUUGUCUUAUCUCCCAAAAGACUGGGGUCAGCCCAGCUUCCUGAGCUGCUGAUGAUACUGGACCAUCUGGGAGAAGAGGCAAAAAAAGAUAGAAUGGCUCCAGGGGCUAUAAGAGUCCAAUAGAGACCCUUCAAGGCAGAAGGGUCAACUCCUGAGGUGUGGAUUUCAUAAUAUGACAAAUGGGAAUGGACAUCCGUGCACAAAGUUCCUGAAGACCAAAGCCGGCAAGGAAGAAUCUGGCUGAGGCUGAAAUGUGGCUGAGAAACAGCAAUGCAUCUGUGAGACGGAAGAGUGGUCCAAGAUGUCAAGGUCACAGGAGUUCACCAACGGAAUCCUGUGUGGAAAGAAAACAAGAAGAGAUUAAAUAGCGGGGGAGCCAAGGGUGAAGGACCCUGGGGGGCCGAGCCCCAGGUGGCCGACAGACACGGGGUCCCCACAGCAGCCUGGCCACCAGGCCACCAGGAAACGGUGCACAGGCUGGGAGUCCCAGGGGCCUCGCACUCAUCGCAGAAUCAUCGGAGGAGCCGUUUCCGCCGCCCGCCCCAGGAGGGGUGUCACGGGUUUCCUCAGAGCAGGGCUGGGGCCACCCCUGCAUGAGCUACGAGGGGCCACGCACCCCAAGCGUGCAGGCUCCGUUGGGAAUAAAGUGGCCUUGGCAAAUGCAAAGGAUCUGAACGCUAAUGAGGUUUCCUGAAGUUUACUUGUUCUGUGAAAAAUAACGGGAGAGCAGCCCACGAGCCAACGGCAGGCGUGUGUCUCCGUCCCUUCCCGGUGUUGGGGAAGGUCAGCCUCACCGGGACUCAUCCAGCACAGCGGGGUGCCCCUCUGCAGGGGGACGGAGGCAAGAAUUUGCUGGAAUCUGUAGAGGCCAACUCAGGCAAACAGGUUUCCCUCUGUAGGUGGCACUUCCAGGAGGACCUACA